rnacentral:rRNA from 1 species
UUAAAUUGAAGAGUUUGAUCAUGGCUCAGAUUGAACGCUGGCGGCAGGCCUAACACAUGCAAGUCGAACGGUAACAGGAAGCAGCUUGCUGCUUCGCUGACGAGUGGCGGACGGGUGAGUAAUGUCUGGGAAACUGCCUGAUGGAGGGGGAUAACUACUGGAAACGGUAGCUAAUACCGCAUAACGUCGCAAGACCAAAGAGGGGGACCUUCGGGCCUCUUGCCAUCGGAUGUGCCCAGAUGGGAUUAGCUAGUAGGUGGGGUAACGGCUCACCUAGGCGACGAUCCCUAGCUGGUCUGAGAGGAUGACCAGCCACACUGGAACUGAGACACGGUCCA